rnacentral:rRNA from 1 species
UUGAAAAAAGGUUAAUAUUCCUUUACCUGCUAUAUACUAAAAGUGACGGAGAAUGCUAGCAACAUAGGCGGACGGAAGUGCCGAGCCGAGCCUUCGGGCAAAGCGCGGUUGUGAAAGUUCUUCCAAGAAAAGCGAGUAUAGCAGCCAGUACCGCAAACCGACACAGGUAGACGGGAUGAGUAUUCUAAGGCGCUCGGGUGAGCCGCGGAGAAGGAACUAGGCAAAUUGUGGCUGUAACUUCGGGAUAAAGCCAUCCCGCAGCAAUGCGGGAUUCAAGAAAAUGGUUCAACCAACUGUUUAACAAAAACACAGGGCCCUGCAAAAUCGAAAGAUGACGUAUAGAGCCUGAAACCUGCCCGGUGCCGGAAGGUUAAGGAAGGGUGUUCGGCGCAAGCCAAAGCUCCUGACUGAAGCCCCGGUAAACGGCGGCCGUAACUAUAACGGUCCUAAGGUAGCGAAAUUCCUUGUCGGGUAAGUUCCGACCUGCACGAAUGGUCUAAUGAGUUGAACACUGUCUCCUCCGCGAGCCCGGUGAAAUUGUAGUAUCGGUGAAGAUGCCGGUUACCCGCCACGGGACGGAAAGACCCCGUGAACCUUCACUACAACUUUGCAUUGAUUUUGAGCAACAAAUGUGUAGGAUAGUUGGGAGACUUUGAAGCAGUGUCGCUAGGCAUUGUGGAGUCAACGUUGAAAUACCAACCCUUUGUUGCUUAGAACCUAAUCCCCUGCGGGAAACAGUGCAUGGUGGUAGUUUGACUGGGGUGGUCGCCUCCUAAAAAGUAACGGAGGCUCGCAAAGGUACCCUCAGUACGGUUGGUAAUCGUACAUAGAGCGCAUUAGUAUAAGGGUGCUUGACUGUGAGGCAAACACGCCGAGCAGGUGCGAAAGCAGGCUAAAGUGAUCCGGUGGUUCUGUAUGGAAGGGCCAUCGCUCAAAGGAUAAAAGGUACUCCGGGGAUAACAGGCUGAUCUUACCCAAGAGCUCAUAUCGACGGUAAGGUUUGGCACCUCGAUGUCGGUUCGUCACAUCCUGGGGCUGGAGAAGGUCCCAAGGGUUCGGCUGUUCGCCGAUUAAAGUGGCACGUGAACUGGGUUCAGAACGUCGCAAGACAGUUCGGUCCCUAUCUGUGGUGGGCGCUAGUAAAUUGAGAGGACAUGACCUUAGUACGAGAGGACCGGGUCUUAUGUACCGCUGGUGUAUCGGUUGUGCCGCCAGGUGCAAUGCCGAGUAGCUAUGUACAGCAAGGAUAAACGCUGAAAGCAUCUAAGCGUGAAACCUUCCUCAAGAUGAGUUUACUUUUAAGGGUCGUCAGAGACUAUGACGUUGAUAGGCUAUAGGUGUAAAGAUGGUAACAUCAAAGCCAAGUAGUACUAAUUGCCCGUAAGCUUUAAUCC